AUGGAGAGUGUGACAACAACAUUGCAAGGGCUGGCUCUACAAAUGCAACAGCACGCUCAGCCGAUGCAACAACAAAGCUUGAUUUUAACUGAAUUGAGCAAGCAGAUAGGUCAGAAGGGAGUGACUCAGGAGGAUGACACCUCUGUUGGUCAUUCAUCACAGAGCGUGUCUCGCCUUGCCGGGAAGAAGGUGAAGCUUCCGGUGUUUGAAGGGAGGGAAACAAGAACAGCAAGGUUUCCUCAACAAUUUCUUGGAAGAUAG